rnacentral:rRNA from 2 species
UUAAAUUGAAGAGUUUGAUCAUGGCUCAGAUUGAACGCUGGCGGCAGGCCUAACACAUGCAAGUCGAGCGGAAACGACACUAACAAUCCUUCGGGUGCGUUAAUGGGCGUCGAGCGGCGGACGGGUGAGUAAUGCCUAGGAAAUUGC